GCUAUUUUUUUUCCUGGAUUUUCCUUAUUCAUUAAUCUGUUUUAAAGAAAUGUUUUCUUUUUCUUAAAUUAAGAGCAAUGUUUUCUUUACAUUACCAUGACUACGGGGUCUGCUUUCUCUAUAUUUACACUGACACUCCCUGAGCAAUCAAGUGUUCUUUAGAAAUGUCCACCCUGUUCCUGCAAGCUUCUGCAAAAGGUAAAGCAUGCCCUUUGAUUUUGUAGUGAAAAUAGUGACAUGAGAUCAAAGGUGAUCUGACGACAGUUUUCCCUGGCAGCACCAAAGCUGUCAAUAUGUAGUACUUCCAAAUUCAUUGAAAGUGUAAAAUAAGGGAAUAGCCAGCAUUGUCUGAUCAUGUAUUGCAAAUGUUUAAAUUGAUCACUAAGCUACUAUAAGAUGUCCCAUACAGCUAUUUUGUGAUAGAGGAGUGUACCAGGGCUGCAUGUAUGUUUGUAUUAAAGAGGGGUUAAAUUGUAAAUAAGCAGGAGCGUUUUUUUAUUUGCUUAAUAAGGCCUGUUAUCUUUGCUAUGUUUUUUGUUUUUAUUUUUUAUUAGAAUUCCCCAGGCCAGCUUGUGUCAUUUAGGAAGUGAAUAAAUCUUCAAAGUUCUCCAGACUUAGGGGUUAAAACCUCAUCUUCACUUCAAAGAUAUUACUUGCGAAGCAGUAGCUAUACACAAACAAAUACAUUUAGAAGCGGAUUCAGAAUGGACCAACAGAGAGAAACCAGGCAGGCAAUAUUCCUCUCCAGACGAGGCUUAAAGGCAAUGAUGAAGAUGAGUCUAGUUCUUGUGGCGUAUACAUUUUGCAUGCUAUACUUUGCAAGUUGGCUAUAUUUAAUAACUGUAUAUCUACACACAUACAUUUAUCUUAACACACCUGAUCUGCAAUCAUUUUCACCUUUUUAGUUGCAGUGCAUUUUGAUAGUUUGGGUGCAUUAGAGUCCAGACCCCCAUGCUCUUUGGGUUCUAGGUUGCCUCGACCUCCAUUUCCAUUCCUAACAAAGAAAGAAGGAGCAGAAACAAAGGUUCCGAAAGGAGUCCCCCUAGAAUUUGAUAUAAACAGUGUGGCAGAACAGGUAACUGUUUUUAUAUGAUGUCUUGGAAACCAGAUGUAAGAAUGUACCAUAUAACUUCAAAUUUUUUGUGUAUUUAGCGUUUAGUCAUGAUCCUUUGGCCUCUUUAUGGCGUCAUAAUUGAUACUCUCCUUGCCCGAUAGCUUAUCAGAUAGCACGUAAAAUAAUUCUGUAAGAGCAAUUAACUGUAUAUACCUUUUGGCCACUAACUACAGAAUGUGGGUUAAUGCCAGUUCAGCCCCUGCUUCUUUCUCACACUUGUUCUUAAUUAAUUCACUCUGAAAAUAUUAAUUUGUUGGAUUUGUAGGAAUGUGUAGAAAAAAGUGUGUCCAACCCCGAAAAACAUAUAAUUUUGUUAAAUACACAUUCCUACAAAUCCAAAUUAGGUAUGCAUGUCUUCCUAAGGGAAAAACUCACAUGUCCCCGUCCAGGAUCUCACUCCUUUAUUGUGCGUUCCUGCACCGGGUGUUGGUCUCCUCUAACUUGUCUCCAUUCCAGCGAACAUCAUUUUUCUCGCAAAGACGGUACUUUACCUGCAGCAUCCGUCAUAACUUAGAGGGGCAGCUCAGUGCGACUCUGUGAUUUAGCGCAUCGCCAAGCAGGGCGUUUACUUGCAGCAUCCAGGGGCCACACUCACAGCCCGGGGCCCAACAUUGGUUCUCAUGAGACUUCUGCAUCCUUGACCCGCACAAAAUAACUUCACUUUAUUCACUGACGGAGCCGCACAAGCAGCGACUUCUGAUUACACUUCCCCGGCUGCUGGGAGGGGCUUCAGGCGACCCCCAGGCUUCCACCGACCCCCUGAAACUGCAAGAACUUCUGGUCAACUUCACUAGACAAAAGGGCAAAAGGGAAAGUAGCGCAAGUUUUUUGCGGAAUCCUGGGGAGCAGGGAGUUGUACAUUAUCUACCUACACUUCACUUGCGCUGACAUCUGCCGUCCAACUGUGACUAAAUCGCAGGAAUGUCCUGCCCCAGCACUUCCCCAGUCUCCCUGCAACUCACCCUACACUUGCAGGCAGGGUAGUAGGAAGAGUCCGCACUCAAAUUAUGCUGGAGUGGAUAUCAGUAAUAGCGCAGCAGCAGACGUCCUCACACGCUCGCUCCUGUUGCUGUCUGCUCAUGCGUAGGGGAAGGACAGGAAUGAGCACAGGCUGCCCUGAGAAGGACCCCAGCGUGAUUGAUGUGGCGCCGAGAUUAGCUCGAUAACAGCGCCUUUCCCCUAUACACGCCCAGUCCUUCUCAGUGGCUGCUCCUUGCAGAGAAAAAGCCAGUGAAAGAAAGAGACGGCCGACGGCUGCCCGGCCAGACUGUGCAGAUACCAGCACAGGAAAUGAAGAGAAAGGGAGGAGCGAGAUGAGAAAAUCUACGAUAACACAGAAACUUGAACCAAAAGGUGCUGGAAGCAAUUAAAGGUCACAGGGAUUAAAGAAAUGUCCAUAUGGUGUAAAAACAGGCCUGGCUAUGCGUAAAAUGGCAUCAUGGAAAGGCAUCGGCCCUCUCAACCGUCCACCUCUUAGUGUGCGGAAUUCCCCAGGCCAGCUUGUGUCAUUUAGGAAGUGAAUAAAUCUUCAAAGUUCUCCAGACUUAGGGGUUAAAACCUCAUCUUCACUUCAAAGAUAUUACUUGCGAAGCAGUAGCUAUACACAAACAAAUACAUUUAGAAGCGGAUUCAGAAUGGACCAACAGAGAGAAACCAGGCAGGCAAUAUUCCUCUCCAGACGAGGCUUAAAGGCAAUGAUGAAGAUGAGUCUAGUUCUUGUGGCGUAUACAUUUUGCAUGCUAUACUUUGCAAGUUGGCUAUAUUUAAUAACUGUAUAUCUACACACAUACAUUUAUCUUAACACACCUGAUCUGCAAUCAUUUUCACCUUUUUAGUUGCAGUGCAUUUUGAUAGUUUGGGUGCAUUAGAGUCCAGACCCCCAUGCUUUUGGGUUCUAGGUUGCCUCGACCUCCAUUUCCAUU